rnacentral:rRNA from 1 species
GGGUUGUGAGGUUAAGCGACUAAGCGUACACGGUGGAUGCCCUGGCAGUCAGAGGCGAUGAAGGACGUGCUAAUCUGCGAUAAGCGUCGGUAAGGUGAUAUGAACCGUUAUAACCGGCGAUUUCCGAAUGGGGAAACCCAGUGUGUUUCGACACACUAUCAUUACGUGAAUACAUAGCGUAAUGAAGCGAACCGGGGGAACUGAAACAUCUAAGUACCCCGAGGAAAAGAAAUCAACCGAGAUUCCCCCAGUAGCGGCGAGCGAACGGGGAGCAGCCCAGAGCCUGAAUCAGCAUGUGUGUUAGUGGAAGCGUCUGGAAAGGCGCGCGAUACAGGGUGACAGCCCCGUACACAAAAGCGCAUAUGCUGUGAGCUCGAUGAGUAGGGCGGGACACGUGGUAUCCUGUCUGAAUAUGGGGGGACCAUCCUCCAAGGCUAAAUACUCCUGACUGACCGAUAGUGAACCAGUACCGUGAGGGAAAGGCGAAAAGAACCCCGGCGAGGGGAGUGAAAAAGAACCUGAAACCGUGUACGUACAAGCAGUGGGAGCCCCACCACUAAGCCAGUGGUGAACUCCACAUACGCAUCCUUUGCUGAGGAUACGGUUAACGGAGCGAAAGCGACGUUCAACCGCAAAAGAAGCAGAGGGGGCUUAGUGGUGGGGUGACUGCGUACCUUUUGUAUAAUGGGUCAGCGACUUAUAUUCUGUAGCAAGGUUAACCGUAUAGGGGAGCCGCAGGGAAACCGAGUCUUAAC